AGCGGCGGACGGGUGAGUAACGCGUGGGAAUGUGCCCUUUGGUACGGAACAACUGAGGGAAACUUCAGCUAAUACCGUAUGUGCCCUUCGGGGGAAAGAUUUAUCGCCAUUGGAGCAGCCCGCGUUGGAUUAGGUAGUUGGUGAGGUAAAGGCUCACCAAGCCGACGAUCCAUAGCUGGUCUGAGAGGAUGAUCAGCCACACUGGGACUGAGACACGGCCCAG
rnacentral:rRNA from 1 species